rnacentral:rRNA from 1 species
GAUGAACGCUGGCGGCGUGCCUAAUACAUGCAAGUCGAGCGAACAGAUGAGGAGCUUGCUCCUCUGACGUUAGCGGCGGACGGGUGAGUAACACGUGGAUAACCUACCUAUAAGACUGGGAUAACUUCGGGAAACCGGAGCUAAUACCGGAUAAUAUAUUGAACCGCAUGGUUCAAUAGUGAAAGACGGUUUUGCUGUCACUUAUAGAUGGAUCCGCGCCGCAUUAGCUAGUUGGUAAGGUAACGGCUUACCAAGGCAACGAUGCGUAGCCGACCUGAGAGGGGGACGGGCCCCCCUGAACAUGAAACCCGGCCACAACCCCAAGGGGGGGCAGCAGUGGGGAAUUUUCCGAAAGGGGGAAAAGCCUGACGGAGCAACGCCGGGGGGGUGAUGAAGGUUUUCGGAUCGUAAACCCCUUUUAUUAGGGAAAAAAAAAUGUGAAAGUAACUAUGCCCGUCUUGAAGGUACCAAAUAAAAAACCCCCGGCGAACUACGG